rnacentral:rRNA from 1 species
GAUGAACGCUGGCUACAGGCUUAACACAUGCAAGUCGAGGGGAAACGACGGGGAAGCUUGCUUCCCCGGGCGUCGACCGGCGCACGGGUGAGUAACGCGUAUCCAACCUGCCUCUGACUGAGGGAUAACCCGUCGAAAGUCGGCCUAAUACCUCAUGGCAUCGUCUGCGGGCAUCCAACGACGAUUAAAGAUUUCAUCGGUCAGGGAUGGGGAUGCGUCUGAUUAGCUAGUUGGCGGGGUAACGGCCCACCAAGGCGACGAUCAGUAGGGGUUCUGAGAGGAAGGUCCCCCACAUUGGAACUGAGACACGGUCCAAACUCCUACGGGAGGCAGCAGUGAGGAAUAUUGGUCGAUGGGCGAGAGCCUGAACCAGCCAAGUAGCGUGCAGGAUGACGGCCCUAUGGGUUGUAAACUGCUUUUAUGCGGCGAUAAAGUGAGGGACGUGUCCUUCAUUGAAGGUACCGCAUGAAUAAGGACCGGCUAAUUCCGUG